rnacentral:rRNA from 1 species
UACAGAGGUGGCAAGCGUUGUUCGGAAUUACUGGGCGUAAAGGGCGCGUAGGCGGCCAUUUAAGUCAGACGUGAAAUCCCCCGGCUUAACCGGGGCAUUGCGUCUGAUACUGGGUGGCUCGAGUGCGGGAGAGGAAUGCGGAAUUCCAGGUGUAGCGGUGAAAUGCGUAGAUAUCUGGAGGAACACCGGUGGCGAAGGCGGCAUUCUGGACCGACACUGACGCUGAGGCGCGAAAGCCCGGGGAGCAAACGGG